CACUGGGCCAGAGUGAAUACUUUUACAGUAGUAAACUGCUGCAUCUUCAGCCUUCAGUCCAGUGAUGGUCAUAGAGAAGUCAGAGCCGCUUCCACUGCCACUAAACCGAGGUGAGAGUGACGGUGGAUCCUGGAGCAGACGUCUCGACUGCAGGCUGAGUCACAGUCACAGUCUGACCGCUGCAUCCUGCACACAGAAACAGAUCAUUGAUUUCUCAGCAGAAAUAAAGGAGAGGAAAGGCAGCACAUGAUGUUUGAAAUGUUGCUGAGUGAAUGAACCUGUGAAACAGCAGCAGGCCAGCGUCCAGAUGAGGAUGGUGAUGAGAGUCAUGGUGCUUUCUGCUGACUGACACAUGUGAGUCCUGCAGUGUUGAACUCACAGGAAUAUAAACCUUCUCAGUUCACUGGAGGAUCAGCUGACCAUGCAAAGCCUCCUCUCUAUGGAAAUGAUGUCUCUGCUCUCAGCACACUGAAGGCAACGUGGGACACGAAACCAGGAGGAACACUGUCUGGAUUUACACCGUCUAUCAUCUGAAUGGAAGAACAUAUUUAUAUCAGGAGUGGAGAUGAGGAUUUGAGUUUGUGUCCACUGUGGUUGGUAUGAUAUGUCUGUUUGUCUGACAUUAACAUACAUACAGAGAUUCACUGUAGAUAAAUAACAUGUUUCAGUUCUGUUUCAAAUACAUUUGUUAAUAACUAUUAUUGAAAAGCCUCGUGUUCAUUUAACCGUGUAGAAACUAAUAUAAAACUGACAAAGUUAGUUGUGUAGAAGACUGUAAUGGUUUCUCUGCCAGGUGUAGAAAAGUGAUGAGAAAUGACAUAAAUCAUCUUAAUUCUUCCAGAGAUGUAAUCCAUAUCUUUAGAAAAGCUUUGUUGAUUUAAAAACUGUAUAUGUGUCUCUGUUAUCAGUGAGAUCAGGGAGCUUUCUCAGUGAUACAUGCUUGCUGACAGUGCAGGAGGUUUUUGUACGGCCACUCAAUGAGUUUGUAUCACUGUGGUACACUUUUGGUGGAGGAACCAAACUCAUCGUUGACUUGGGUGUGCAGCAGCCCACCCUGAGCGUCCUCCCCCCCUCCAGAGAGGAGCUGCAGCAGGGCAGUGCCACCGUGGUGUGUCUGGCCAGCGGGGGCUUCCCCUCCGCCUGGAAGCUGGGCUGGAAGCUGGGGGGCAGCAGCAGCUCCUCAGGGGGGUCCCACAGCCCGGAGGUCC